rnacentral:rRNA from 1 species
AGAGUUUGAUCCUGGCUCAGGACGAACGCUGGCGGCGUGCCUAAUGAAUGCGAGUCGCACGGGGAACGUAGCCUCUUCACUUCGGUGAAAGCUACGUUACCUAGUGGCAAACGGGUGAGUAACACGUGGGUAACGUGCCUCCGAGACGAGGACAACAGGGCGAAAGCCCUGCUAAUACUCGAUAAGCUGCCCCUGCAUUAGUAGGGACCAGGAAAGCUACGGCGCUUGGAGAUCGGCCCGCGGUCCAUUAGCUUGUUGGUGAGGUAACGGCUCACCAAGGCGACAAUGGGUAGCUGGUCUGAGAGGACGAUCAGCCACACUGGAACUGAGAUAUGGUCCAGACUCCUACGGGAGUUAGCAUCCGGGAAUCUUGCACAAUGGGCGCAAGCCUGAUGCAGCGACGCCGCGUGGGUGAUGAAGGUCUGCGGAUCGUAAAGCCCUGUCAGGAGGGAAGACACCCGACUGUACCUCCAGAGGAAGCCCCGGCUAACUACGUGCCAGCAGCCGCGGUAAAACGUAGGGGGCUAGCGUUGUCCGGAAUUACUGGGCGUAAAGGGCACGCAGGCGGUCUGGAAAGCGGUGGGUGCAAUUCCGAGGCUUAACUUCGGAACUGCUCGCCGAACUAUCAGACUAGAGCAUGGGAGAGGACAGUGGAAUUCCCGGUGUAGCGGUGGAAUGCGUAAAUAUCGGGAGGAACACCAGUGGCGAAGGCUGCUGUCUGGAACAUUGCUGACGCUGAGGUGCGAAAGCCAGGGGAGCGAACGGGAUUAGAUACCCCGGUAGUCCUGGCCGUAAACGAUGCUCACUAGGUGUUACCGGCAUUAACCCCGGUAGUGCUGUUCUGCUAACGCGUUAAGUGAGCCGCCUGGGGAGUACGGCCGCAAGGCUGAAACUCAAAGGAAUUGACGGGGGCCCGCACAAGCGGUGGAGCAUGUGGGUCAAUUGGAUGCUACGCCAAGAACCUUACCAGGGCUUGACAUGUUGGGGCCCGCCUGAGAGAUCAGGCUUUCUCCGCAAGGAGACCCCAUCACAGGUGGUGCAUGGCUGUCGUCAGCUCGUGUCGUGAGAUGUUGGGUUAAGUCCCGCAACGAGCGCAACCCUCACCGGAUGUUGCCAUCGGCUAGGCCGGGAACUCUUCCGGAACUGCCUGAGUAAUCAGGAGGAAGGCGAGGAUGACGUCAAGUCCGCAUGCCCCAUAUGUCCUGGGCUGCACACGUGCUACAAUGGCCGGUACAAAGGGUAGCCAAACCGCGAGGUGGAGCUAAUCCCCUAAAACCGGUCCCAGUUCGGAUUGGAUGUCUGCAACUCGACUCCAUGAAGCUGGAAUCGCUAGUAAUCGCGGAUCAGCAAUGCCGCGGUGAAUACGUUCUCGGGCCUUGUACACACCGCCCGUCAAGUCACGAAAGCUGGCAGCACCCAAAGUCUGUCGGACGGCAGCCCAAGGUGAGGCCAGUGAUUGGGACUAAGUCGUAACAAGG